rnacentral:rRNA from 1 species
UACGGGGGGAGCAAGCGUUGUUCGGAUUUACUGGGCGUAAAGGGCGCGUAGGCGGCGCAACAAGUCACUUGUGAAAUCUCCGGGCUUAACCCGGAGCGGCCAAGUGAUACUGUCGUGCUAGAGUGCGGAAGGGGCUACUGGAAUUCUCGGUGUAGCGGUGAAAUGCGUAGAUAUCGAGGGGAACACCUGCGGCGAAGGCGGGUAGCUGGGCCGACACUGACGCUGAGGCGCGAAAGCCAGGGGAGCGAACGGG